rnacentral:rRNA from 1 species
GCAAGCGUUAAUCGGAAUUACUGGGCGUAAAGCGCACGCAGGCGGUCUGUCAAGUCGGAUGUGAAAUCCCCGGGCUCAACCUGGGAACUGCAUCCGAAACUGGCAGGCUAGAGUCUUGUAGAGGGGGGUAGAAUUCCAGGUGUAGCGGUGAAAAGCGUAGAGAUCUGGAGGAAUACCGGUGGCGAAGGCGGCCCCCUGGACAAAGACUGACGCUCAGGUGCGAAAGCGUGGGGAGCAAACAGGAUUAGAUACCCUGGUAGUCCACGCCGUAAACGAUGUCGACUUGGAGGUUGUGCCCUUGAGGCGUGGCUUCCGGAGCUAACGCGUUAAGUCGACCGCCUGGGGAGUACGGCCGCAAGGUUAAAACUCAAAUGAAUUGACGGGGGCCCGCACAAGCGGUGGAGCAUGUGGUUUAAUUCGAUGCAACGCGAAGAACCUUACCUACUCUUGACAUCCAGAGAACUUAGCAGAGAUGCUUUGGUGCCUUCGGGAACUCUGAGACAGGUGCUGCAUGGCUGUCGUCAGCUCGUGUUGUGAAAUGUUGGGUUAAGUCCCGCAACGAGCGCAACCCUUAUCCUUUGUUGCCAGCGGUCCGGCCGGGAACUCAAAGGAGACUGCCAGUGAUAAACUGGAGGAAGGUGGGGACGACGUCAAGUCAUCAUGGCCCUUACGAGUAGGGCUACACACGUGCUACAAUGGCAUAUACAAAGAGAAGCGGCCUCGCGAGAGCAAGCGGACCUCAUAAAGUAUGUCGUAGUCCGGAUUGGAGUCUGCAACUCGACUCCAUGAAGUCGGAAUCGCUAGUAAUCGUGGAUCAGAAUGCCACGGUGAAUACGUUCCCGGGCCUUGUACACACCGCCCGUCACACCAUGGGAGUGGGUUGCAAAAGAAGUAGGUAGCUUAACC